AUACGGAGGGUGCAAGCGUUACUCGGAAUCACUGGGCGUAAAGCGCGCGUAGGCGGCCAUUUAAGUUGGAUGUGAAAGCCUACGGCUCAACCGUAGAACUGCAUCCAAAACUAUUUGGCUAGAGUGUGGGAGAGGAAGAUGGAAUUAGUUGUGUAGGGGUAAAAUCCGUAGAGAUAACUAGGAAUACCAAAAGCGAAGGCAAUCUUCUGGAACACUACUGUCGCUGAGGCGCGAAAGCGUGGGGAGCAAACGGGAUUAGAUACCCUAGUAGUCC
rnacentral:rRNA from 1 species